rnacentral:rRNA from 1 species
UACGUAGGGUGCGAGCGUUGUCCGGAAUUAUUGGGCGUAAAGAGCUCGUAGGCGGUCUGUCGCGUCUGCUGUGAAAUCCCGAGGCUCAACCUCGGGCCUGCAGUGGGUACGGGCAGACUAGAGUGCGGUAGGGGAGAUUGGAAUUCCUGGUGUAGCGGUGGAAUGCGCAGAUAUCAGGAGGAACACCGAUGGCGAAGGCAGAGCUCUGGGCCGUAACUGACGCUGAGGAGCGAAAGCGUGGGGAGCGAACAGG